rnacentral:rRNA from 1 species
UAAUACAGAGGGUGCAAGCGUUGCUCGGAAUCAUUGGGCGUAAAGGGUUGGUAGGUGGUCUCAUUUGUCCGGGGUGAAAUCCUUGAGCUUAACUCAAGAAGUGCCCUGGAAACGGUGAGACUGGAGUCUUGGAGAGGGUCGCGGAAUUCCCGGUGUAGCGGUGAAAUGCGUAGAGAUCGGGAGGAACACCAGAGGCGAAGGCGGCGACCUGGACAAGUACUGACACUGAACAACGAAAGCGUGGGGAGCAAACAGGAUUAGAUACCCUGGUAGUCCACGCCGUAAACGAUGGGUACUAGGUUUGGUGGGUCUUGACCCCCGCUGAACCGGCGCUAACGCAAUAAGUACCCCGCCUGGGAAGUACGGUCGCAAGACUA